UGCGGCGCGGCGGUUUCCCCGGCGCGGAGCACGUCGGAGCGAACGCACGAGGCCCUGACGCCUCAUGAGCUCGCUGACCAGCCGAGGCUCCCACCAACCGGGUCCCUACGGCGCGGGAGGGGAAGGACCGUCCCCUCCCGGCUCUGAGCAUGGGUCGUUCCCGAGCGCCGCCCGCACGACGGCGGGGUGCCUCGAGGAGCUGCGGAGGCUGAGGACCCGGGAAGGAGUGUCCUGCGGGGGCCCGCAGCCCCAGGGAAUCACCAGGGUCUUGGGACUCGUCGGAUCCCGGAGACUCGAGAUGCGGACUCCAAAGUGUGGCGCGCAAGCCAAGCUGGGCUUUAGCUGCCCUUUGGUUGAGGGCCACUUCACAAUAACAGCUGCAACUCUUUGGACACCCACUCCACAAACUUCAGGUCUUUCUCAAGGGAAGAAGGUGGGCAUUGUCUUUAGAUAA
rnacentral:lncRNA from 1 species